GGCGAAAAGAUCGGAUUUGAGUCACUUCAGCCUGCAGUGGCAGUGAGAAAAGGAAGAGGAAAAAGGAUGGUGCUGAUUUAGAACGCGAGAUAACGGCUGCAGUUAAAGGCUUCCCUGAUUGCAUUUCCUCUCCAACAGACAUGCUCAUACCUGUCAACCCUCCCGUUUUUCCCGGGAAAUCCCUUAUUUUGACUUAUUUCCCGCUGUCUUCCCGUUUUUUAUUUUCCCGAAAAUAUCCCGUAUUUUCACAAUAUAAAAAAGUCGGUAGGUCCAGAAUUCAUGACGCGCCUCUGACAGGAGUUUACAGCAGGAAGUCGCGCCAUGAAUUCCCGUCCCCCGGAGGCGAGGCUGAACAAGUGAUUAGGUGUCUGAGGUGAAGAUGGCGAUGCUAAUAGCUAAGAAAAACAUUAGCCUCUCUUUCUUUGAUGAUUUCAACAAGUGCGUGGCUGGAAUGUUCCCAGACUCUUCCAUCGCAAAGAAAUUUUCCAUGGGGAAAACGAAAGCCUCCCAAAUAAUCAAAGGUCCACCAUGUGUCAGGAGAGACUGUCAGAUCUGGCAGUAAUAUCCAUUGAGCAAGCCGUGAGAAGGAAACUGGACAUGGAAGAUGUCAUCACUGCAUUUGCCAAUGCUAAAGCAAGAAAAAUCAAGUUUUAAGCACACAGUCUCAUCCACUGUAGCCACCACCACCCAUGAGACUGAUAGAUGGGCACACCGACAGCAGCGCACAUAGACAGACAGGCAGACACACACUCUCCUCUACUGACUGACACACACACACACACACACACACACACACACACACACACACACACACACACACACACACAGCUUAUAUUCAGAUAUUCAGUGAUCUUUAUUGGGUUUUUUUCAAUCAUUUCCAUGUGUUCACAAUAAAUAUUGUUUGUCAGUACGUAUGAUUCAUCAUCUCAUCUCAUCUCAUUAUCUCUAGCCGCUUUAUCCUUCUACAGGGUCGCAGGCAAGCUGGAGCCUAUCCCAGCUGACUACGGGCGAAAGGCGGGGUACACCCUGGACAAGUCACCAGGUCAUCACAGGGCUGACGCACAGACACAGACAACCAUUCACACUCACAUUCACACCUACGGUUAGAGUCAACAGUUAACCUAACCUGCAUGUCUUUGGACUGUGGGGGAAACCGGAGCAUGAUUCAUCAUCUCAUUAUUAUUACAGAUGUAUGGGUUGGGGUCAUGGCCGUAACUACCAUUGAGGACACCGAGGUCAUGUCCUCGGUAUUUUUUUCAGAAAUUUAAAAUUGGUCUAUGCUGAAUUCGAGCAGUGAUCAAUGUAAAACGCAGCGUCCACAUCCACAUGUCAUCUGUAUUUCCCCCCAAUAAAAUUCACAUUUGUCUAAUGUCAUCUGAAAUCUCUCAGCCUCUAUCUCUAUUGUUGCCGUGUCUAACGCAGCGUCACGCGACGUAGCCUAUACUAGUGUCGGCCGGGGAAGUUGGGUUUUGGUAAAACAGGCAGGGUGUAGUCUACGCUCUAUCACACAUGCCUACCUAACCUAACAUAGGCUAAUAGUCACAUAGCAUUAUAGAGCUUUACCUGAGUGCAAAAUGAAAACGUUGCAACAAACUAAAUUAAGGUUUGGACAGCCAACAGAAGAGCAGAGAAAGAGAAGGAGGGAAGGUGAGAAAAUAUUGUCAGUGCAGUGGCAGAUCGUUCAGCGGUGUCAUGCCAACUUUCCAAGGGGAAAUGUUUCAUUGUCAUUGCCUAUUACAUUUUAGUUAGCAUUUCGAGAAACAUUCAAAACUACGUUGUCACAGGCAGCCCUGUGCAGGGCUGACUAAACGGACUUGUUUGAGUAACUCUCUCUCUCUCAUACUCUCUCUCUUUCUCUCUCACACACACACACUCUCUCUAAUACAUAGUCUUCACACAGAACUAAUAGCCCUACAUUCUAAUGUAAUUUAAGAUAAUGAAAUGUAAAUAAUGCCAAUACUUCAGGUAGCUGAGCAAUACACUUAGUUCAGUUUUGACUUUUAUGUCAGACAAAACGAGGGUUAUGUAUAUAACCGCGGUUCUAUGAGUUUCGGAUGACCGCCAGAGGCGGUGCUUUCAGCACAUGGAUAUCCAUCACACGAACGUGCAGGUCGA